rnacentral:rRNA from 1 species
AUGGCCGACGUGGAGGGUUCCGGCGAGGAGGUUGGUGCUCCUCAGAAGCAAGCAGGAGCGGUGGAGGCAUCGUUGGACGGCGAGAAGCCGCCGGCAGUGCGGAUCGACACGACGACCCAGACGGACGUCCAGUGCGCCGCCGAGUCCGACCCGCCUGCCGGCACAACGGGCAAGAAGAAUCGCAUGCCCGCCGAGAUCGUCAGUUACAUCCUGUCCAUGCCGAUAGACAAGCCCGACAUAGUCAUGCCCUCCUGCCUCCAGCAGGGCGACAAGAACAUGGCGGAGAUCCUGGGAGUGACGGAGGAGUGGCUCGAGGAUAUGAGGCAGACGUACAGGGAUGUCGCCCUCCGUACCCAGAGGGUCCAUGACGACUUCGUGAAGUACCAGGUACAGAUCCGCGACGAGUUGUUCGAGAAGGGCUACGUGGAGGUGGACGAUGACUACUUCACCAACCAUGCCGAGUUCGGGGAAGAGAUGGCGGCAAUGUGGGAAGAGUGGGAGAAGAAGCGAAGCCCCACUCUCACAUUCGCGGACUACAGCGACUACAAUAUUCCGUAUGACUACGAGGAGCAGGCCAGGCGCUUGGUCGAUCUGUGA